rnacentral:rRNA from 1 species
GACGAACGCUGGCGGUGUGCUUAACACAUGCAAGUCGAACGGUAAGGCCCUUUCGGGGGUACACGAGCGGCGAACGGGUGAGUAACACGUGAGUAACCUGCCCUCAUCUCUGGGAUAACAGUCGGAAACGGUUGCUAAUACUGGAUAUGAGCCUGCAAGGCAUCUUGUGGGUUGGAAAGAUUUUUUGGUUGGGGAUGGACUCGCGGCCUAUCAGCUUGUUGGUGAGGUAGUGGCUCACCAAGGCUUCGACGGGUAGCCGGCCUGAGAGGGCGACCGGCCACAUUGGGACUGAGAUACGGCCCAAACUCCUACGGGAGGCAGCAGUGGGGAAUAUUGCACAAUGGACGGAAGUCUGAUGCAGCAACGCCGCGGGCGGGAUGACGGCCUUCGGGUUGUAAACCGCUUUCAAUUGUGACGAAGCUUUUUGUGACGGUAGCAGUAGAAGAAGCACCGGCUAACUACGUG